rnacentral:lncRNA from 1 species
GCAGACCGAAUGAGCAGACCUCUAUACCCAACAUCGCCCCAAAAUUCAGCAAUGGCUGUAAUGUGUGAAGAGAGGCUGAGACCAUGGCAAGUGAUGUGUGUGCUACAAGCAGGGGCCACAGGCAAGGACUCAGAUCUCCUGUGUCAGAGGGAGUGACAACCCAUCAGCACUGUGGCUGCUGCACUGAGGGACUGUAUGUUCCAUAUCCUCCACCCCCAAAUCCAAAGGAAGAGUAAAGAGGAAAAAAAAGAGGCCGGUAAUGAGACUCCAGAGGGUGUCUUGGUCACAAUCGUUAAGAGUCACUUGUUUAAUUGUAGCCCAUUUUGAAACUGGCUUGUGAGAAAGUCGGAACUCAGAAGUCACAUCAAGCUGCCAAAAUCAACCCUUCCUUUAACUUUCCUUCUCUGAAUAGGCAGUCGUUCUAACAACUCCGAGAUGACAAGACCAAACUACAUUAGGCCAGCCCACAGCGCUUGCAAAAGAGCUCACAGGGGUGACGU